GUUGUUGGGUAGGGGAGCGUUCUGUAAGCCUGUGAAGGUGUGUCGUGAGGCAUGCUGGAGGUAUCAGAAGUGCGAAUGCUGACAUAAGUAACGAUAAAGCGGGUGAAAAGCCCGCUCGCCGGAAGACCAAGGGUUCCUGUCCAACGUUAAUCGGGGCAGGGUGAGUCGACCCCUAAGGCGAGGCCGAAAGGCGUAGUCGAUGGGAAACGGGUUAAUAUUCCCGUACUUGGUGUUACUGCGAAGGGGGGACGGAGAAGGCUAUGUUGGCCGGGCGACGGUUGUCCCGGUUUAAGCGUGUAGGUGUGUGUUCCAGGUAAAUCCGGUUCACUUUAACACUGAGGCGUGACGACGAGGCACUACGGUGCUGAAGCAACAAAUGCCCUGCUUCCAGGAAAAGCCUCUAAGCAUCAGGUAACAUCAAAUCGUACCCCAAACCGACACAGGUGGUCAGGUAGAGAAUACCAAGGCGCUUGAGAGAACUCGGGUGAAGGAACUAGGCAAAAUGGUGCCGUAACUUCGGGAGAAGGCACGCUGACACGUAGGUGAAGUGAUUUACUCAUGGAGCUGAAGUCAGUCGAAGAUACCAGCUGGCUGCAACUGUUUAUUAAAAACACAGCACUGUGCAAACACGAAAGUGGACGUAUACGGUGUGACGCCUGCCCGGUGCCGGAAGGUUAAUUGAUGGGGUCAGCGCAAGCGAAGCUCCUGAUCGAAGCCCCGGUAAACGGCGGCCGUAACUAUAACGGUCCUAAGGUAGCGAAAUUCCUUGUCGGGUAAGUUCCGACCUGCACGAAUGGCGUAAUGAUGGCCAGGCUGUCUCCACCCGAGACUCAGUGAAAUUGAACUCGCUGUGAAGAUGCAGUGUACCCGCGGCAAGACGGAAAGACCCCGUGAACCUUUACUAUAGCUUGACACUGAACAUUGAGCCUUGAUGUGUAGGAUAGGUGGGAGGCUUUGAAGUGUGGACGCCAGUCUGCAUGGAGCCGACCUUGAAAUACCACCCUUUAAUGUUUGAUGUUCUAACGUGGACCCGUGAUCCGGGUUGCGGACAGUGUCUGGUGGGUAGUUUGACUGGGGCGGUCUCCUCCUAAAGAGUAACGGAGGAGCACGAAGGUUGGCUAAUCCUGGUCGGACAUCAGGAGGUUAGUGCAAUGGCAUAAGCCAGCUUGACUGCGAGCGUGACGGCGCGAGCAGGUGCGAAAGCAGGUCAUAGUGAUCCGGUGGUUCUGAAUGGAAGGGCCAUCGCUCAACGGAUAAAAGGUACUCCGGGGAUAACAGGCUGAUACCGCCCAAGAGUUCAUAUCGACGGCGGUGUUUGGCACCUCGAUGUCGGCUCAUCACAUCCUGGGGCUGAAGUAGGUCCCAAGGGUAUGGCUGUUCGCCAUUUAAAGUGGUACGCGAGCUGGGUUUAGAACGUCGUGAGACAGUUCGGUCCCUAUCUGCCGUGGGCGCUGGAGAACUGAGGGGGGCUGCUCCUAGUACGAGAGGACCGGAGUGGACGCAUCACUGGUGUUCGGGUUGUCAUGCCAAUGGCACUGCCCGGUAGCUAAAUGCGGAAGAGAUAAGUGCUGAAAGCAUCUAAGCACGAAACUUGCCCCGAGAUGAGUUCUCCCUGAGACUUAGAGUCUCCUGAAGGAACGUUGAAGACGACGACGUUGAUAGGCCGGGUGUGUAAGCGCAGCGAUGCGUUGAGCUAACCGGUACUAAUGAACCGUGAGGCUUAACCUU
rnacentral:rRNA from 2 species